rnacentral:rRNA from 1 species
ACGCUGGCGGCGUGCUUAACACAUGCAAGUCGAACGAAAAGACGGAAAGAGCUUGCUCUUUUCAGAAUUGGGUGGCAAACGGGUGAGUAACACGUAAACAACCUGCCUUCAGGAUGGGGACAACAGACGGAAACGACUGCUAAUACCGAAUAAGUUCCAAGAGCCGCAUGGCCCAUGGAAGAAAAGGUGGCCUCUACCUGUAAGCUAUCGCCUGAAGAGGGGUUUGCGUCUGAUUAGCUGGUUGGAGGGGUAACGGCCCACCAAGGCGACGAUCAGUAGCCGGUCUGAGAGGAUGAACGGCCACACUGGAACAGAGACACGGUCCAGACUCCUACGGGAGGCAGCAGUGGGGAAUCUUCCGCAAUGGGCGAAAGCCUGACGGAGCAACGCCGCGUGAGUGAUGACGGCCUUCGGGUUGUAAAACUCAGUGAUCCGGGACGAAAAGGCAGAGUGCGAAGAACAAACUGCAUUGACGGUACCGGAAAAGCAAGCCACGGCUAACUACGUGCCAGCAGCCGCGGUAAUACGUAGGUGGCAAGCGUUGUCCGGAAUUAUUGGGCGUAAAGCGCGCGCAGGCGGCUUCCCAAGUCCCUCUUAAAAGUGCGGGGCUUAACCCCGUGAUGGGAAGGAAACUGGGAAGCUGGAGUAUCGGAGAGGAAAGUGGAAUUCCUAGUGUAGCGGUGAAAUGCGUAGAGAUUAGGAAGAACACCGGUGGCGAAGGCGACUUUCUGGACGAAAACUGACGCUGAGGCGCGAAAGCGUGGGGAGCAAACAGGAUUAGAUACCCUGGUAGUCCACGCCGUAAACGAUGGAUACUAGGUGUAGGAGGUAUCGACCCCUCCUGUGCCGGAGUUAACGCAAUAAGUAUCCCGCCUGGGAAGUACGAUCGCAAGAUUAAAACUCAAAGGAAUUGACGGGGG